GCAUUAAUGGUGUAGCGGUAACAUACUUCCCUUCCAUCUUCAAUGAUAGGAAGUGCUCUGGGUUCGACUCCCAGUUAAUGCA
rnacentral:tRNA from 1 species